rnacentral:rRNA from 1 species
AUUGAACGCUGGCGGCAUGCUUUACACAUGCAAGUCGAACGGUAACAGGCCGCAAGGUGCUGACGAGUGGCGAACGGGUGAGUAAUGCAUCGGAACGUGCCCAGUCGUGGGGGAUAACGCAGCGAAAGCUGUGCUAAUACCGCAUACGAUCUAUGGAUGAAAGCGGGGGACCGUAAGGCCUCGCGCGAUUGGAGCGGCCGAUGUCAGAUUAGCUAGUUGGUGGGGUAAAGGCCCACCAAGGCGACGAUCUGUAGCUGGUCUGAGAGGACGACCAGCCACACUGGGACUGAGACACGGCCCAGACUCCUACGGGAGGCAGCAGUGGGGAAUUUUGGACAAUGGGCGCAAGCCUGAUCCAGCAAUGCCGCGUGCAGGAAGAAGGCCUUCGGGUUGUAAACUGCUUUUGUACGGAACGAAACGGUCUGGGUUAAUACCCUGGGCUAAUGACGGUACCGUAAGAAUAAGCACCGGCUAACUACGUGCCAGCCGCCGCGGUAACAC